GCCUGGCUGGCUCAGUUGGUAGAGCAUGUGACUCUUGAUGUUAGGGUUGUGGGUUCGAGCCCCAUGCUGAGUA
rnacentral:tRNA from 1 species